GAUGAACGCUGGCGGCGUGCCUAAUACAUGCAAGUCGAGCGAAUGGAUUAAGGGCUUGCUCUUAUGAAGUUAGCGGCGGACGGGUGAGUAACACGCGGGUAACCUGCCCAUAAGACUGGGAUAACUCCGGGAAACCGGGGCUAAUACCGGAUAACAUUUUGAACCGCAUGGUUCGAAAUUGAAAGGCGGCUUCGGCUGUCACUUAUGGAUGGACCCGCGUCGCAUUAGCUAGUUGGUGAGGUAACGGCUCACCAAGGCAACGAUGCGUAGCCGACCUGGGAGGGUGAUCGGCCACACUGGGACUGAGACACGGCCCAGACUCCUACGGGAGGCAGCAGUAGGGAAUCUUCCGCAAUGGGCGAAAGUCUGACGGAGCAACGCCGCGUGAGUGAUGAAGGCUUUCGGGUCGUAAAACUCUGUUGUUAGGGAAGAACAAGUGCUAGUUGAAUAAGCUGGCACCUUGACGGUACCUAACCAGAAAGCCACGGCUAACUACGUGCCAGCCGCCGCCGUAA
rnacentral:rRNA from 1 species